GAUGAACGCUGGCGGCGUGCCUAAUACAUGCAAGUCGAGCGAACAGACGAGGAGCUUGCUCCUUCGACGUUAGCGGCGGACGGGUGAGUAACACGUAGGUAACCUACCUAUAAGACUGGGAUAACUUCGGGAAACCGGAGCUAAUACCGGAUAAUAUUUCGAGCCGCAUGGUUCGAUAGCGAAAGAUGGCUUUGCUAUCACUUAUAGAUGGACCUGCGCCGUAUUAGCUAGUUGGUAAGGUAACGGCUUACCAAGGCAACGAUACGUAGCCGACCUGAGAGGGUGAUCGGCCACACUGGAACUGAGACACGGUCCAGACUCCUACGGGAGGCAGCAGUAGGGAAUCUUCCGCAAUGGGCGAAAGCCUGACGGAGCAACGCCGCGUGAGUGAUGAAGGUCUUCGGAUCGUAAAACUCUGUUAUUAGGGAAGAACAAACGUGUAAGUAACUGUGCACGUCUUGACGGUACCUAAUCAGAAAGCCACGGCUAACUACGUG
rnacentral:rRNA from 1 species